UUCCAUAGGUUUUGCAUUAGAUGCAUUAUGGGGGUUUUGUCCGAUUUGAACGACGGUUUUGGAGGGUCAAUGAAUAUUCAUGAGCAAUGACGUAAAAAAUACGCCAAUUACUGUUAGUUGAUUGGCCAUCGACAAAAUGUUUUAUGUAUAAGGUCAUGCAUAAAACAUUUUUUGCAUUCCCAGAAUUCCCUACGAUUUGAGCACGAAAAUGGCGGUUGUAUGAUCUGCAACUUUCAAGUUACUCAAUUACGAACAAUGAAACAUUUUUCUUUUAAGUGAAUUUCUAUUAUAAUAGAAGUUUGUCAAGUACAUCUCAGUGAAGCAGAAAAUCUUCAGGCGAACAUUGGCAUCGAAGUGAUAUCCUAUGAUAUCAAGAAAAAUCCUAUGGAACAAAGAAGCAGAUAAUGAUCACAGAAGUGCAACAAAGAGCACCAGGACCUGAUCAUCAAAUGUUAUGGUGUAGAUCUAAUCAAGGACAGGACACCUAAGUUGAACUCUGGCAAGGUUGUCCCUUGCAGAAGGUUUGAUACCCAGGCUUCUUUUGUACAAGUCCCUAGUCCACCCUCAUCUUGAGAACUGUUCCUGUGUCUGGGAUCCCUACAACAUCUCAGAUGUCCAGGACGCUACUUCACAAUGGGGACCACAAGUGAACCAGCAGUUUGACUGAGAUGAUCAGCACCUUUAGUUGCCUACUAUAUCUACAACUACAAGGCACUCUGCAAGAAGACUGGGAAUGGUGCACAAGAUAGUCGAUGGUCUCUCUGCUCUCCCUUGAAAAUUUUCCCACUGCACUACUUAUAGCUACUUGCGCCCUCUAUAUAGCAAACAAUGCCUAAUCGGUGCCUGUUGGUCCCCCAUGAUCCUCUUUUUCUUAUAUUAAUUGAGAGCUGAUUUGAUGAGAUAACCACCUGUAAGUGACCUUGCAGGGUGGUCUAAUCCCCCUGACCAAACUAGUACAGACGGGCUUUAACAAAUCACGAGCAGGAAGUACCAUGACAUGACCCUCCAGUUGCACCAAGCCAGAAGCGACAUAGACAAGUUUGUAUUUGCCCAACACUCUGUCCCAAAGUUAAUGGAACUUACUUCCAGCAAAUAUAGUGCAUGCUGACAGUCCAGAGAACUGCCAGAGACUACUUCUGAGGCAUCUACUCUCCUUAUCCCACUUAGAAACAAUCUAUCUUCCUCACACCACUUGUAAUCUUUAGUAUUAAUUCAUCUUCGUGAUAGGCUACAACGCCUUUUGAAGAUUACCAGAAGAAGAAGAAGAAGAUAUAUCGAGGAUCAUGAAAGUAAUCAUUUGUUCUUUUAAAUGCGUGUACAUGAAACAUAGUUUUUUGAUAUUUAAUCUUAAGUCAAGUUCUGACAAAUAUAUUAGGGAUGCUGAACUGGAUAGUAAAUUGAAGGGGGGGGGGGGAAUAAAAUGAUGUAGUU
rnacentral:lncRNA from 1 species